GACGAACGCUGGCGGCGUGCUUAACACAUGCAAGUCGAACGGAAAGGCCCUGCUUUUGUGGGGUGCUCGAGUGGCGAACGGGUGAGUAACACGUGAGUAACCUGCCCUUGACUUUGGGAUAACUUCAGGAAACUGGGGCUAAUACCGGAUAGGAGCUCCUGCUGCAUGGUGGGGGUUGGAAAGUUUCGGCGGUUGGGGAUGGACUCGCGGCUUAUCAGCUUGAUGGUGGGGUAAUGGCUUACCAAGGCUUUGACGGGUAGCCGGCCUGAGAGGGUGACCGGCCACAUUGGGACUGAGAUACGGCCCAGACUCCUACGGGAGGCAGCAGUGGGGAAUAUUGCACAAUGGGCGGAAGCCUGAUGCAGCAACGCCGCGUGCGGGAUGACGGCCUUCGGGUUGUAAACCGCUUUCGCCUGUGACGAAGCGUGAGUGACGGUAAUGGGUAAAGAAGCACCGGCUAACUACGUG
rnacentral:rRNA from 1 species